GGUGCCUUAGCUCAGUCGGUAGAGCAAAGGACUGAAAAUCCUUGUGUCGCUGGUUCGAUCCCAGCAGGCACCACCA
rnacentral:tRNA from 1 species